CAGCAGCCGCGGUAAUGCGUAGGUGGCGAGCGUUGUCCGGAAUUAUUGGGCGUAAAGGGCUCGCAGGCGGUUUCUUAAGUCUGAUGUGAAAGCCCCCGGCUCAACCGGGGAGGGUCAUUGGAAACUGGGAAACUUGAGUGCAGAAGAGGAGAGUGGAAUUCCACGUGUAGCGGUGAAAUGCGUAGAGAUGUGGAGGAACACCAGUGGCGAAGGCGACUCUCUGGUCUGUAACUGACGCUGAGGAGCGAAAGCGUGGGGAGCGAACAGGAUUAGAUACCCCAGUAGUCCCUGUCUCUUAUAC
rnacentral:rRNA from 1 species